CAGUCCCCUGUGCAGGGCCACAGCUCCCAGCAGUGGGUGUUCAGGUGGGGCAGGGUUUGCAGCUCAUAGUUUGGCGGUUGUCAGAGUAUCAACUCUCACCCGGGUAGAAAGUCAAUCUUCAACUUAACACACGUGUCCUGCCUUUGGAACUCUGGGUUUUCUUUCUCUCUUAGACACAAAGAAAGAGCUUUGUGCUUGGCAGUCACCUAAACUUAGCAAUUAAGUUCCUCCAGGAGAAUUUAUAGAACUUUUUAGAAUUUAUAGAACUGAAAUGGGGGUGGGUUGGGGGAGGGGAGAUCUUAGAUCUGGUUCCUCAGAUUUAAUGGAUGAAAAUGUUGAGAGGCUGAGGGGCAAGUGACUCACCUGUAGUCACAGGAGCACCGGGGGCAGAGCUGGGCUUGGCUUUUCUUUGAGGGACCACUGUUCUCAUUGCCCACCGAGCCUCUGAGGCAGGAUGGACCCUCACCUGAUAGAUACCAGACUCUCUUUGGUAUUUAAUUAUAGUGAUGGAAAUCUGACCUAUCCCACAUAUGAGGUGCUGAAAUCCUCCUAUACUCAGAGCAGAGCUUCUGAGCUGGGGAGAGACAGACACCAUCUUGGCCAUCCCCACAAGCCUGUGACUCACAGCCUCACCCACAGGAUGCUGCUGCUUCAACUCAUCUUUUCUCAGUCCCUGACAGCCCUCAGCAAGGAGCCAGGGCUUGAUCCAGCCUCGGAGCCCAGGAGCAGGCUGACCUGACCACACAGAAUCCUGGAGAUCUGGCAUGCUGGAGCUGACACAAGCCUUGGAAACCAAGGUGUCUACCUUCUCAUCUUAGGAUAUCAUCUCUGCACACGAUUGGGAGCCUCUUGACCUUGUGACCAUCCUGUAAUGUCAUAGACUGUUCCCUGGGAAGUGUGUACUAAAUAAGUAUUUGGUGGAAUGAUGGACCAACAAAAAUGAUGAGAGGCAGCCUGGUGAGAUGGAAUGAGCUGAACAGUGACUCAGGAAACCCAAAGUCUUGGUCCUGGGACUGCCAAGAGGGAAUCUUACUGUUUAGGUCAGAUGGCCCUCUUUUGCUCUAUCUGAAAAAUGGAGUAGAAAAACAGGAUGGUCUUGAAUGGAGGAGUUUCAAGCUGUUAAUCUGGGCAGGCAAAUGGGCAAGGCAGGGCCAGGCUGUGGGGCUGGGAUAUGUGGAGAGCAUCAGUACCUGCAUGUGGCAAAUGUACAUGCCUCUUCUUGGCCUCAGGUUUGGGUACAGGGAUAUGAGGCCUUCAGGUGUCUCCACCUCCAACCCCCAUCAGAUUUGACAACCACCACUCGACUGUCUCCAGGCCCCAGGGAACUCAGGUGGAGAUAGGCCAGAUAGCAUCCUUGUUUUUGUCUGUUUCAGAAGUCAUGCAAACCACAAGGUGAACAGUCCUGCACAGUGUAGAUGGCAGCACAGCAUUUCCAUGAUUAGAAAAAAGAUAGUGUUCUGGGCUCCAUGGUGUGACUUAAAUGUCAAGAUUUCUUUCACCAGAGGAGAUCCAAUGAGAUUCUGGAAACUAUGUGUGAAAUUUGAUUCCGUCUCCCCAAAGAGCUGCCAUUAUCUCUAGUGGGGACAGUUCUAAUGAAGCCCCUUGGUGGCAUACAAGUGCCCUGCACAGCAAUUCUAGCCAGCACGGAUCUUUCAUCCUGCUCAGGUCAGUGAUCUUGAGCAGCCAAUUCAGUGCCUUGUGCUUCCAUUUCUAAGCUGAAAAAUGGAGACAAUACCUUGACAAUUCCUCAAUAGAUUGUUAUGUGGAUAAUUCAUCAAUAUGGUCACAACAACAUCAAUAAUAAUUUUAUCAAGGAAAAAAGCCAUAGUAUGUGCUGAGAAUUUCUGUGUCUGGCACUACCUAUGCACGUUAGCUGGAUUAUUUCAUUUACUCAUAUAGUUGUUCAAUGAAGAAAGUAUAAAAACAUCAAGGCUUAGCGAAGCUAAAUAAUCUGCCCAGAGCCAUAUACCUGGUAGUAGAGCUAGGCUUUGAAUCCAGUAUCCAAUACUUCCUGUGUCAGGCUAAGCAUUGUGUUAAAUGACAUUCUGUCCUCAAGAAGCUUAUAAUAAAUGGAAGAAAUAGGCAUAUGCACAAAUAGUUUUUUUUUCUUAAGGAAAGAAGAAAAGAAGAACAAAAUGGUAGCAUUUUCAUCUGAAUAUAGCUUGAUAUAAGUUCAGGGAAUUGCCUUGCAGGGGUGGAAAGAUAUGAUACCUCCCCUCACUCAUCAUAAGGGUCACAGGAGAACGUCCCUGUGACAAAAGACAGGUUAACACAAGAAAAGAACAACAUGUUUGUUUAAUUAUACUUUUAGGGGUCAAAAGAGCCUUGAGAAAUAGAGACCAACGGGCCUAUAGCAGUGGUGGCAAACCUAUGGUACACAUGUUGCAGCGGGCUGUUUAUUAUUAUUGAAAGUUCUGAAAGAUUCGCCAUCACUGGUCUAUUUUUCUAUUUUAGGAAACUGUCUAUUUUUAUGCCUAGGUUCAAUGAAGAAUGGACAGAUGGGUAGAAAUGUGAGAGGAUAAAAAGUGUAAGAUCUAAGGUAACAGGGUGAAGUGGGGAAUCCCAGCAAAGCCUGUCUGUUUUGAGUCUUCUUCUUUUUUUUUUUUUGGUACCAGGGAUCGAACUCCAGUCCUUGCACUUGCCAGGCAGGCAGCAGAACCACUGAGCUAAAUCCCUGGCCCCUGUUUUGAGUCUUCUUAGCCUCUUUGUGCAGCAUUCCUUUCUCCUGGGUAUGGGGCUGGGCCCCCUGAAAUGAGGGUUAUAUUGUCUACUGCACAAAGUAAGUCACAGAACUUCUUUAUGGUCAGCUCUUAAACAGAAAGACCAAGUUAGAGUAAUGUUUCUAGUUUAUAAGACUUGCCUUGGGGAAGAGGUUUUCUGAUUUCUGUGAUUACGGGGUGGGGUAGGGCAGGUAGGAGUCAGGGCGUUAGGAGAUCUGGAAGAGGCUUUGCUUCUGAGGCUCUUCCAAUGACCUUUAGUUCAAAGUACUCAGCAUGCCAAAGUGCCAUACUUUGGGGUACUGUUUUUUUUUCUGAACCCCAACACUACUAAUUCUCCAUUAGUUUGUAAUAUAUGUUACAUACUCAGAGAUACACAUAUAAAUUU